CCUACGGGAGGCAGCAGUGGGGAAUAUUGGACAAUGGGGGGAACCCUGAACCAGCGACGCCGCGUGAGUGAAGAAGUAUUUCGGUAUGUAAAGCUCUAUCAGUAGGGAAGAAAGAAAUGACGGUACCUGACUUAGAAGCCCCGGCUAACUACGUGCCAGCAGCCGCGGUAAUACGUAGGGGGCAAGCGUUAUCCGGCUUUACUGGGUGUAAAGGGACAGUAGAGGGCGAUGCAAGUCUGAAGUGAAAGGCGGGGGCUCAACCCCCGGAUUGCUAUGGAAACUGUAUGGCUGGAGUGCAGGAGAGGUAAGCGGAAGUCGUGGUGUAGCGGUGAAAUGCGUAGAUAUUAGGAGGAACACCAAUGGCGAAGGCGGCUUACUGGACUGUAACUGACGUUGAGGCUCGAAAGCGUGGGGAGCAAACAGGAUUAGAUACCCGAGUAGUC
rnacentral:rRNA from 1 species